GCGGGGGUACCGGACAUUGACCCGUCCGGUUGAGAUCAUACCCAUUGAACCUGACGCGGGUAAUGCCGCCGUAGGGAAGCGUAAU
rnacentral:ncRNA from 1 species